CCUUUCUCCCCGCCGCAUUCCCGGUGUCGACUUACUAGCUGCAAGCCUCUGCCUGCCUUCCUGCGCGCCGUUCCCCGCUAGUCGCUGCUGCUGGCGCGCACUCGCCGGGUUUUUCCUCCCACGGCCUCGAGAUGGUGGUGAAUGUGGCACGGAGGAGCCGGGCCUUCCAACCCGGUGGGCCCGAGCUCCGAAAGGCCCCCUCGGCAGUGAGAGGGGCGGGAGCCCGCGGGGGCCGCGCCCUUCUCUCGCUUCGGACUGCGCAACGCUGCGCUCUGGGCUGACAGGCGGAUAAAACGGUCCCAUCAAGACUGAGAAAAAGCACACCAGCUAUUGGCACAGCGUGGGCAGUGGGGCCUACAGGAUGACUGACUUAGUCUACAGAGAUCCCGGCGUACUUAAGCAGGUAGUAAUGAUGGACAGAUGAAGACUCUUAAGAUGACAGAAGGUGAUUUUUCUGGUGAUCGAGGACUUCCGGGGUAAUGACAGUGAUGAAAUGCAGGGGACCUGGUUGCCCCCAAGUUUCCUGGCAGUGUGUGAUACUGAGGAGGUGAGCUUGUUUCUGGAGCUGUGCUUUAAGGUAAAGUUGAUCAGCUUAAUCCUCCUGAUCCCUUUCCCAUCGGAUCUGAACACUGGUCUUGGUGGUCGUAAAAGGAGGAAAAGUAAUAGUGAAGCUGGCCUAAAUGUUGUAAUCUGGUAUAUGGCAUGUGGGCUAGUUUCAGACAGGUUUCAGAGAUGGUUGGAUCUCUGAAAUUGUAAAAUGAAGUAUAAUCUUAGGCUAAGGGAAGGAUGCGUGUGAAGCUCUGGAGGUUGGUAUAGUAAUAGCUGACCUAUUACUGCAUUUGGGAGGGAUCUGUCAUAGCUUCCUUGCCUCUUAAUUAAGGGUGGUGUUUUUUUCUUUUAGAUUCAUGUUACAUGUAAAGCUGUCCUCAUUUGUGACUAUGGACCUAUGGAGUUGGGACAAUCUCUAUGGGAAGCAGAAGGCAAGGACCCCGGUCAUUUUAGGUAGAAACAACAGCAUGCUAAUGCAAAAAAUUAUGCAGUGUGCUACUGAACUUCAGAGGUGAUCAAUAAAAGAAGAAUAAAAAGACUAAUAAAAGUAAAAAAAAAAAAAAAA
rnacentral:lncRNA from 1 species